GACGUAGGGCGCGAGCGUUGUCCGGAUUUAUUGGGCGUAAAGAGCUCGUAGGCGGCUUGUCGCGUCGUCCGUGAAAACUUGGGGCUCAACCCCAAGCUUGCGGUCGAUACGGGCAGACUAGAGGUAUGCAGGGGAGAACGAAUUCCUGGUGUAGCGGUGAAAUGCGCAGAUAUCAGGAGGAACACCGUGGCGAAGGCGGUUCUCUGGGCAUUACCUGACGUGAGGAGCGAAAGUGUGGGGAGCGAACAGG
rnacentral:rRNA from 1 species